AACGCGAAGAACCUUACCUGGGCUCGAACGGCUUUGGAUCAUCCUUGGAAACAGGGAUUUCCCGCAAGGGACCGGAGUCGAGGUGCUGCAUGGCUGUCGUCAGCUCGUGUCGUGAGAUGUUGGGUUAAGUCCCGCAACGAGCGCAACCCUUGUCCUGUGUUGCCACUCCGUAAGGAAGCACUCUCAGGAGACCGCCAGCGAUAAGCUGGAGGAAGGUGGGGAUGAUGUCAAGUCAUCAUGGCCUUUAUGUCCAGGGCUACACACGUGCUACAAUGGACGGUACAAAACGCUGCAAACCCGCGAGGGGGAGCUAAUCGCUAAAAACCGUUCUCAGUUCGGAUCGCAGGCUGCAACUCGCCUGCGUGAAGCUGGAAUCGCUAGUAAUGGCGUAUCAGAACGACGCCGUGAAUACGUUCCCGGGCCUUGUACACACCGACGCGUA
rnacentral:rRNA from 1 species